rnacentral:rRNA from 1 species
UGCCGGCGACCGGCGACGGGUGCGUAACGCGUAUGUAACCUACCUUUGACAGGGGGAUAACAUCGAGAAAUUGGUACUAAUACCCCAUAACAUCACCGGAGGCAUCUUCGGUGGUUGAAAACUCAGGUGGUCAGAGAUGGACAUGCGUUGUAUUAGCUAGUUGGUGAGGUAACGGCUCACUAAGGCGACGAUACAUAGGGGGACUGAGAGGUCAACCCCCCACAUUGGUACUGAGACACGGACCAAACUCCUACGGGAGGCAGCAG